rnacentral:misc_RNA from 1 species
GCUAUGGGUUGUUUUCCGUCGCAACUAUGUCCUAAACUCGGGGCAUGUAUAUUCUUCAUUGGCCGCAAUUCUCUAUCCAAAUAUAACAUCACUCGCUGCUCUCUGCUCGAUAUAGAAUCAUAGGAUUCAGAAGGAUACUUACAUGUACCUAUUGCUUUAGAACAUGAAUCUGAAGUGGAAAUGACAUGGUUAUGCAUCACACGUGCA